rnacentral:rRNA from 1 species
CCUACGGGAGGCUGCAGUAGGGAAUCUUCCACAAUGGGCGCAAGCCUGAUGGAGCAACACCGCGUGAGUGAAGAAGGGUUUCGGCUCGUAAAGCUCUGUUGUUGGAGAAGAACGUGCGUGAGAGUAACUGUUCACGCAGUGACGGUAUCCAACCAGAAAGUCACGGCUAACUACGUGCCAGCAGCCGCGGUAAUACGUAGGUGGCAAGCGUUAUCCGGAUUUAUUGGGCGUAAAGCGAGCGCAGGCGGUUGGUUAGGUCUGAUGUGAAAGCCUUCGGCUUAACCGAAGAAGUGCAUCGGAAACCGGGCAACUUGAGAGCAGAAGAGGACAGUGGAACUCAAUGUGUAGCGGUGGAAUGCGUAGAGAUAUGGAAGAACACCAGUGGCGAAGGCGGCUGUCUGGUCUGCAACUGACGCUGAGGCUCGAAAGCAUGGGUAGCGAACAGGAUUAGAUACCCCAGUAGUC